AGGCUGCAACCCGCCUGCAUGAAGUUGGAAUCGCUAGUAAUCGCGGAUCAGCAUGCCGCGGUGAAUACGUUCCCGGGCCUUGUACACACCGCCCGUCACACCAUGAGAGUCGGGAACACCCGAAGUCCGUAGCCUAACCGCAAGGGGGCGCGGCCGAAGGUGGGUUCGAUAAUUGGGGUGAAGUCGUAACAAGGUAAC
rnacentral:rRNA from 1 species